rnacentral:rRNA from 1 species
UACAGAGGGUGCAAGCGUUGUUCGGAAUUAUUGGGCGUAAAGGGCGCGUAGGCGGUGCCACAAGUCACCUGUGAAAUCUCCGGGCUUAACCUGGGAACUGCAUUCGAGACUGCAUUGCUAGAGUAUGGGAGAGGGAAGUGGAAUUUCCGGUGUAGCGGUGAAAUGCGUAGAUAUCGGAAGGAACAUCAGUGGCGAAAGCGACUUCCUGGACCAAUACUGACGCUCAUGUGCGAAAGCGUGGGGAGCAAACAGG